AUAUACAUGGAAGCAGACUGUUG
rnacentral:piRNA from 1 species